GACGAACGCUGGCGGCGUGCCUAAUACAUGCAAGUCGAGCGGAAGUUGAAGAGCUUGCUCUUCAACUUUAGCGGCGGACGGGUGAGUAACACGUGGGCAACCUGCCCUGCAGAUCGGGAUAACUCCGGGAAACCGGUGCUAAUACCGAAUAGUUUUCGCCACCUCCUGGUGGCGUACGGAAAGACGGUUUCGGCUGUCACUGCAGGAUGGGCCCGCGGCGCAUUAGCUAGUUGGUGGGGUAACGGCCCACCAAGGCGACGAUGCGUAGCCGACCUGAGAGGGUGCGCGGCCACACUGGGACUGGGACACGGCCCAGACUCCUACGGGAGGCAGCAGUAGGGAAUCUUCCGCAAUGGACGAAAGUCUGACGGAGCAACGCCGCGUGAGUGACGAAGGUUUUCGGAUCGUAAAACUCUGUUGUGAGGGAAGAACAAGUACCACUUAACUACUGGUACCUUGACGGUACCUCACCAGAAAGCCACGGCUAACUACGUGCCAGCAGCCGCCGUAA
rnacentral:rRNA from 1 species